rnacentral:rRNA from 1 species
AGAGUUUGAUCAUGGCUCAGGAUGAACGCUAGCUACAGGCUUAACACAUGCAGGUCGAGGGGAAACGAUAUUGGAAGCUUGCUUCCGAUAGGCGUCGACCGGCGCACGGGUGAGUAACGCGUAUCCAACCUGCCCAUCACUUGGGGAUAACCUUGCGAAAGUAAGACUAAUACCCAAUGACGUCUCUAGAAGACAUCUGAAGGAGAUUAAAGAUUUAUCGGUGAUGGAUGGGGAUGCGUCAGAUUAGCUUGUUGGCGGGGUAACGGCCCACCAAGGCUACGAUCAGUAGGGGUUCUGAGAGGAAGGUCCCCCACAUUGGAACUGAGACACGGUCCAAACUCCUACGGGAGGCAGCAGUGAGGAAUAUUGGUCAAUGGACGAGAGUCUGAACCAGCCAAGUAGCGUGCAGGAUGACGGCCCUAUGGGUUGUAAACUGCUUUUAUAAGGGAAUAAAGUGAGCCUCGUGAGGCUUUUUGCAUGUACCUUAUGGAUAAGGACCGGCUAAUUCCGUGCCAGCAGCCGCGGUAAUACGGAAGGUCCGGGCGUUAUCCGGAUUUAUUGGGUUUAAAGGGAGCGUAGGCCGGAGAUUAAGCGUGUUGUGAAAUGUAGACGCUCAACGUCUGCACUGCAGCGCGAACUGGUUUCCUUGAGUACGCACAAAGUGGGCGGAAUUCGCGGUGUAGCGGUGAAAUGCUUAGAUAUCACGAAGAACUCCGAUUGCGAAGGCAGCUCACUGGAGCGCAACUGACGCUGAAGCUCGAAAGUGCGGGUAUCGAACAGGAUUAGAUACCCUGGUAGUCCGCACGGUAAACGAUGGAUGCCCGCUGUUGGUCUGAAUAGGUCAGCGGCCAAGCGAAAGCAUUAAGCAUCCCACCUGGGGAGUACGACCGCAAGGUUGAAACUCAAAGGAAUUGACGGGGGCCCGCACAAGCAGUGGAGUAUGUGGUUUAAUUCGACGCAACGCGAAGAACCUUACCAAGUCUUGACAUCCUGCGACGCACAUAGAAAUAUGUGUUUCCUUCGGGACGCAGAGACAGGUGGUGCAUGGUUGUCGUCAGCUCGUGUCGUGAGAUGUUGGGUUAAGUCCCGCAACGAGCGCAACCCUUAUGGUCAGUUACUACGCAAGAGGACUCUGGCCAGACCGCCGUUGACAAAACGGAGGAAGGUGGGGAUGACGUCAAAUCAUCAUGCCCUUUAUGACUUGGGCUACACACGUACUACAAUGGCGUUAAACAAAGAGAAGCAAGACCGCGAGGUGGAGCAAAACUCAGAAACAACGUCCCAGUUCGGACUGCAGGCUGCAACUCGCCUGCACGAAGUCGGAAUUGCUAGUAAUCGCAGAUCAGCAUGCUGCGGUGAAUACGUUCCCGGGCCUUGUACACACCGCCCGUCACACCAUGAGAGCCGGGGGGACCCGAAGUCGGUAGUCUAACCGCAAGGAGGACGCCGCCGAAGGUAAAACUGGUGAUUGGGGUGAAGUCGUAACAAGGUA